CCAUGAUCUUCUGACUUCCAGGCCAGUGCUCUAUCCACUCCACCAUGGUGCUUAUUGAAUGUUUACUGUGUGCAGAGCACUGUGCUAAGCGCUUGGGAGAGACAGACAGAUUCCCUGCCCACAGCGAGCUCACAGUCUAGAGGGGGAGACAGACAUUAAUAGAAAUAAAUAAAUUAUCGAUCUGGACAUAUGCCCUCUCUCCUCACGUCCCCUGCUCUCUCCCCUCCCUUGUCCUCUUGACUCUCUUCUCCAGCCUUUCCCUGCCCUUUUGGCUCCCCUCCUCUUCCUCCUCCUCCCCAGCUGGGAACAGUUAUCCGGAGAAGAUGGCCAGCAGAAGGACGGGAAGGACAACUUCGAGCUCCGUGUCCGGGUCUUCACCCUAUCCCCCAAUCCCGACCCCUGACCCCCAGCAGGCCUAUAGUGGAACUUGCUUCUUCACCCAAGCUUCCAUGGAACAAUGACAAUAAACCUUCCUCACCACCAUUUUCCAGCAGUGUUUGCAGCUGUCUGCACGACUCAAGAUAUUCCAGAAGAAGAAGCAAUUUUGGUGCUAUGCACAGGGCAGAGAACUUCGCUAGAUACAAUACCAUUCAUCCCUCUCAAAUGCUGUAACAGGAGAAACAUCCUUUAUGUGGUAAAGGGUGCUGGAUACUAUACCAAGCCCAAUCUCUUUUCUGCCCUGCCUCUCCGCUGGAUGAAAAUUGAGCGGUGUUAAAGAAUGCCAACUGGAGAUGGUAGAUGGGAAUUGCACUGAUCCCUUUUCAUAUCAGUGUGCACCUGGAGUUUCAGGAUCCAUGCCAGAAAGUCUAGAGACUGAGAUCCAGAGCUG
rnacentral:lncRNA from 1 species